CCUACGGGAGGCAGCAGUGAGGAAUAUUGGUCAAUGGACGAGAGUCUGAACCAGCCAAGUAGCGUGAAGGAUGACUGCCCUAUGGGUUGUAAACUUCUUUUAUAUGGGAAUAAAACAGGGUAUGCAUACCCUCUUGUAUGUACCAUAUGAAUAAGGACCGGCUAACUCCGUGCCAGCAGCCGCGGUAAUACGGAGGAUCCGAGCGUUAUCCGGAUUUAUUGGGUUUAAAGGGAGCGUAGGUGGAUUGUUAAGUCAGUUGUGAAAGUUUGCGGCUCAACCGUGAAAUUGCAGUUGAAACUGGCAGGCUUGAGUACAGUAGAGGUGGGCGGAAUUCGUGGUGUAGCGGUGAAAUGCUUAGAUAUCACGAAGAACUCCGAUUGCGAAGGCAGCUCACUGGACUGCAACUGACACUGAUGCUCGAAAGUGUGGGUAUCAAACAGGAUUAGAUACCCUUGUAGUC
rnacentral:rRNA from 1 species